rnacentral:lncRNA from 10 species
GGGAGCUUAGAUGUGGAAGCUCUUUGGAAACCAAGAAACACUCUGAAAAUGAAAAGGGUGGAAGAGUAAACUGUUCCUGUUUCUCCAUCUUGACAGGAAGCAGAAGUUCUCCUUAGCUGAUUUUUCUUCUUGCCUUAUACUGGGUUCUUUAACACCAGAACAAAAAUAAAUAAAUAAAAGAAUCUUCCAGAAAUUCAUGAAGAGACUUCAGGUCAGGAAAGCCUGAACUUUCUCAUCCAACACCCGUUCAAGUCGGAGGAUGCUGAUUAAUUCAUGAUGGAAAGGUAUCAAUUUCACAGCCCAGACCUCUACAUUCUUGAAAUGCUCUUCUCAUGGGAGACAUUAAAUAAGCUUUGAAUUAACUUGCCAUGACACCCAGGAUGCAGCUGUAGGAACACCACUGGGUCCCUGGAUGUCAUGUAAGCCCUUAAGUAAAAGUGCCAUCAAAUGAUUUCUCAGAAAUUAUAAAGAAACAAAAGGACCAUAAACAAGAUAAGGUGGCAUGAGGAAACAUUACAAGUACCUUUCAGAGCUGACUGGCAAAGAAACUCCUGAGGUGACGGUUCUACCCCAAUAUUACUUCUUCGAAGAGCAACCUAACUCUUAGGUGGCCUAGAGGGGCAAGACUGGUGUGGCAAAUUGGGAUCAGCAGUGU